rnacentral:rRNA from 1 species
UACGGAGGGUGCGAGCGUUGUUCGGAAUUACUGGGCGUAAAGCGCGUGUAGGCGGCUACCUAAGUCUGGUGUGAAAUCCCUCGGCUCAACCGGGGAACGACGCAUGAAACUGGCAAGCUAGAGUACCAAAGAGGGGGGUGGAAUUCCCGGUGUAGCGGUGAAAUGCGUAGAGAUCUGGAGGAACACCGAUGGCGAAGGCAGCCCCCUGGGCUAACACUGACGCUCAUGCACGAAAGCGUGGGGAGCAAACAGG